rnacentral:rRNA from 1 species
UACAGAGGUCUCAAGCGUUGUUCGGAUUCAUUGGGCGUAAAGGGUGCGUAGGCGGCGCGGUAAGUCGGGUGUGAAAUCUUGGAGCUUAACUCCGAAACUGCAUUCGAUACUGCCGUGCUUGAGGACUGGAGAGGAGACUGGAAUUUACGGUGUAGCGGUGAAAUGCGUAGAUAUCGAUAAGGAAGACCAGUGGCGAAGGCGGGUCUCUGGACAGUUCCUGGACGCUGAGGCACGAAGGCCCAGGGGGAGCAAAACGGG